rnacentral:SRP_RNA from 1 species
GCCGGGCGUGGUGGCGCACGCCUGUAAUCUCAGCACUUGGGAGGCUGAGGCAGGAGGAUCGCUGUGUUGAGACCAGCCUGGGCUACAUAUUGAGUUCCAGGUCAGUCUCAACUACAUAGUGAGACCCUGUCUCUC